GAUGAACGCUGGCGGCGUGCCUAAUACAUGCAAGUCGAACGCGAGCAGCAAUGCUCGAGUGGCGAACGGGUGAGUAAUACAUAAGUAACCUGCCCUAGACAGGGGGAUAACUGCUGGAAACGGCAGCUAAGACCGCAUAGGUAUGGACACUGCAUGGUGACCAUAUUAAAAGUGCCAAGGCACUGGUAGAGGAUGGACUUAUGGCGCAUUAGCUUGUUGGCGGGGUAACGGCCCACCAAGGCGACGAUCAGUAGCCGGCCUGAGAGGGUGAACGGGCCAACGAUUGGGACUGGAGACACGGCCCAA
rnacentral:rRNA from 1 species